rnacentral:rRNA from 1 species
UACGUAGGGGGCAAGCGUUGUCCGGAUUUACUGGGCGUAAAGAGCGUGUAGGCGGCCACGCAGGUCCGUUGUGAAAACUGGAGGCUCAACCUUCAGACGUCGACGGAAACCGUAUGGCUAGAGUCCGGAAGAGGAGAGUGGAAUUCCUGGUGUAGCGGUGAAAUGCGCAGAUAUCAGGAGGAACACCGGUGGCGAAGGCGGGUCUCUGGACAGUUCCUGACGCUGAGGCACGAAAGCGUGGGGAGCAAACAGG